rnacentral:rRNA from 1 species
AAUCGGACAUAGUACGAGAAGGUUGUAUGUCUAAAGGGAAACAGCCCAGAACAAGAGUAAUAAGGUUCCUAAAUUAUUAUUAAGUGAAAUAAAGGAUAUAAAUAUAUAAUACAACCAGGAAAUAGGCUUAGAAGCGGUCAUUUUUUAAAGAUCUCGUAAUAGAGCACUGGUUAAUUUAUUCUUUAAUAUAUAGAUACCUAAAAUUUAACGGAUCUAAAUAAUAUACCGAAACCUUGUACAUAUUUAAAUUAAUUUAAAUAUGAGAUAGCGGAACAUUGGAUAAAAUAGUAGAGAUAUAAAUAAAUUAUAUUAUAUUUAAUUAAUCUAAGAAUCCAAGAGAGAAUGCUGACAUGAGUAACGAAAAAGGAUUAUAAAUAAUAUCCUCGCCUUAAGCUUAUGGUAUUUGA